rnacentral:rRNA from 1 species
GACAGAGGGUGCAAGCGUUGUUCGGAAUUACUGGGCGUAAAGCGUGCGCAGGCGGUUUUGUAAGUCUGACGUGAAAUCCCCGGGCUCAACCUGGGAAUUGCGUUGGAGACUGCAAGGCUAGAAUCUGGCAGAGGGGGGUAGAAUUCCACGUGUAGCAGUGAAAUGCGUAGAGAUGUGGAGGAACACCGAUGGCGAAGGCAGCCCCCUGGGUCAAGAUUGACGCUCAUGCACGAAAGCGUGGGGAGCAAACAGG